AGUUGGAAAUUUACAUCUCACAAGGGUCACAUUCUACUGAGGAAGAUAUUAACAAGCAGAUCAAUGAUAAGGAGCGAGUGGCAGCAGCGAUGGAGAAUCCAAAUUUACGAGAGAUUGUGGAACAGUGUGUUAUAGAGCCGGAUGACUGAACACUUACCAGCCACAUGGAAAUAUGGAAAAACAACUCUUGCUCACAACCUGUUGUUUGCAAAGUCUGCCAAAUGAGGAUUGUCUCUUUACACAUCUUACAAACUUUUUUUCAAAAAACUUCUUUUUACCUGCCUACUAAUUAAGAGAAUUCUGAUAUAAUUGUUCAAUUUCAGAUUGAGAAUAUAAUCCCAAACAUGAGGAUUCUCUGAAAUACUUGAGGCUCGAAGUUAGUGCAGUAAUUGAAAGUGCAGUCAUCAAAGUAUUACCCUAGUGCAAAUUGUCAAGGAGCAUUUAAUGUUUCAGUUCUAUUCAGCCAUUAAAAUAAGAAUUUUAAAGAACAAAAUUGAGGCAACACUAAUGGGUUGCAGCUACUGAUUCUGAUUGUGGUGAUCUCAGCAUGUUGGAAAAGGAAUGUUUUGUUCUGACACAUCUAUCUCAUUUCCAAGGACAAAGGAAAAUCAUUUAUCCUGGUCUUGUACAUUAAUAAUGAGGUAAUGCAGUGUUGCACAAAAAGAUUCAAUUCAAAUUUUAUGUCCAUCUUUAUACUGCUCAGUGCGUGUGACAGAGAUUUCUAAAGACUAAAAGGUGGAAAAUAGUGAAAAGCAAAACCAAUAUUUGAUGAUUUUGCCUGAGCUAUAAAAAGCUGUUUUAUUGCUAAGAUUUUUAAUGAGUAGUCCACUUUCAAUGUUAAUUAUCUGUUGCUUCCCAAAAUAACCACAACACAGACCUGUCACUGACUCCAUUUAGUUGCUGAAGUUUCAUGACAUGAGCUCUGUUGCGUGUAAUUUAACUCAUCUAAAUCUGCCAGACAGCUCUCAAACCAUAAGUAGCAACCUGAGAGGAGCCUGCAUUCCUACACGUAUCUACAAAGUUGUUGCAGGACUCCAAGGAUUUCUGUUCUCCAUUGUUAUGUGUGAAUAACGAAAGGGAACCGGAGACAAGGUUUUGUUUUCAGACAUUUUUAGGUUCUAAAUUUGGAAAGUGCCUAAGGUCUGCUUUUUUGUUUGGGAGGAAGCCAGUAGGAAAAGGAAGAUGUGGGGUGAAUUCUAACUGGUCAUCCACGAACCCCUUCAUCCAUGCCCCCUAAAAAUGCCUCUUCAUUCAGUCUCCCACAUUCCAGAUGUAGAUAUUCCUGGAAAACAACCUCUGAACACUCAAAGGGAGAUUCUGAGGUGCUGGGAAGAUUUUAAACAAUCAAAAGCGAUGUUGAAUUUCACAGCCUGCAAACCAGAUCAUUAACGUAAGCAACAACAAAACUAUAAAAAUAAGCGUGAGCAAAAUACAAAGAUUUAUGCCAAAUGAUGCUGUCAGUGUGUAUUGGAGGGCAGGCAUCAUUGAGUCCCGGAGCCCACAAUUAUGUUUUAUUUCUGGUAAAUAAAUAGCCCAUUCACUGCCACAAUUCUAUAUCAUUAUGUUAUGUGAGAGGCUUCAGCAGCCUAUCCACAUAUCCCUGUAUUCUGCUCUCCCUCUUCAACUAACAUCGAUGUUUUUAUAGAACCUGGCUGCUGCAAUAGAUAAAUACAGCAGCUAAGAUUUUAAUUGCCCAGAUCCCCUUUUCCAAUGUUAGGUGGUUUACUCUCAAGCUAAACUCCUGCAGGGGACCGGUUCCUCAGAUUCUUAUAGCCCUCCACUACACUACCCAUUUUCCAGGUAUAAAAGCAAUAAGUGUUAGCAGGCUGCACAGCGGUGAGUGGCGUCACUGCUGAGCCAGAUCCUGUCCUUGGCCAAUGUUCACAGAAGUGCACACUUUUGCAACACAGUCACUGGAUGGUGACCAAGCGAGAAUGGAAAUAAGUCCUAUUCCUCUGCCACUACCACCAACAUUGCCAGCCCUUUGCCUUCGAGGGCACUCAUACCAGCAUCAGUCCCUAAUCAAUACCCUGGCUAUACAAACUAGGGCACCUGGAAACUUUCAGAAUCACAUAUACCAAGUGAAUCAUAAAUUGCAGCUAUGAGUCAUGUUUGAACCCAAUUUAAAAAAAACUGUCCCCUGUUGGGCCAAUCUGUUGGCUGUUUGUACUUACAUUAAUAGCACCAUGAUGAAUUCCUCUAACCAUGAUGGAGCUUCCUAUCAUUCCAUUUACUGGUCUUAAAACCUUGCACCGGCUUUUAUUAGUCAGAAGAUUAUUUGGGGAAUGAAGAGUGCAUCUGGUACACGAUCCUGGUUAUAAACUUGGACAGUCUACUGCUUGGUGGGUACUGUUGGCUUGGAAGUAAAUGUGAGUUUACUGAGACAGUGUGUUUCAGUAAUUUAAAAAUGAAUUGUGCAAGUUUCUGAGGGUCAAAACCUUUCUACAGUUUGUCUCCAAGAGUGAAUAUUUUGAUUUGAGACUCUGCAAUGUCUCGCAAAACAUCUUGAACAUUUCUGCACCUUUUACAAUUGACUAGACCAGGACUGCCACUUAACAUAAACAGCUUGGAGGAACGAACAUUUCUGAGCAGAUCUGACCAAUGAAAUCAUUUGCUUAAUUCAUCUGUCUUUUGUAAGAUUUUCAGAUCUAAUCAAACCCUUCAGCCUCUGCACUGAGUGAAUACAGAGUUGUGUCAGGACUGUGUGCCCUGUUGUAUAUAUAAAAAUAAAUGCAAAAUCCUGCA